UUAGAGUUUGAUCCUGGCUCAGGAUGAACGCUAGCUACAGGCUUAACACAUGCAAGUCGAGGGGAAACGGCAUUUAGUGCUUGCACCGAAUGGACGUCGACCGGCGCACGGGUGAGUAACGCGUAUCCAACCUUCCCAUAACUAAGGGAUAACCUGCCGAAAGGCAGACUAAUACCUUAUGUAAUCCUUUGAUGGCAUCAGAUAAGGAUAAAAGAUUUAUCGGUAAUGGAUGGGGAUGCGUCUGAUUAGCUUGUUGGCGGGGUAACGGCCCACCAAGGCGACGAUCAGUAGGGGUUCUGAGAGGAAGGUCCCCCACAUUGGAACUGAGACACGGUCCAAACUCCUACGGGAGGCAGCAGUGAGGAAUAUUGGUCAAUGGACGGAAGUCUGAACCAGCCAAGUAGCGUGCAGGAUGACGGCCCUAUGGGUUGUAAACUGCUUUUGUAUGGGGAUAAAGUCAAUCACGUGUGAUUGUUUGCAGGUACCAUACGAAUAAGGACCGGCUAAUUCCGUGCCAGCAGCCGCGGUAAUACGGAAGGUCCAGGCGUUAUCCGGAUUUAUUGGGUUUAAAGGGAGCGUAGGCUGGAUAUUAAGUGUGUUGUGAAAUGUAGACGCUCAACGUCUGACUUGCAGCGCAUACUGGUUUCCUUGAGUACGCACAACGUUGGCGGAAUUCGUCGUGUAGCGGUGAAAUGCUUAGAUAUGACGAAGAACUCCGAUUGCGAAGGCAGCUGACGGGAGCGCAACUGACGCUUAAGCUCGAAGGUGCGGGUAUCAAACAGGAUUAGAUACCCUGGUAGUCCGCACAGU
rnacentral:rRNA from 1 species